UUUUUUAAAUGUGUAUUUCGAUUCUAUUGUAAAUUCUUUUUUCUAUCUCAAUUCAGAACUACAAGCAGUUAUAGAUGAACUAAAACCAAAGUGUAUGAUCAUUCAUAAUUCAGCCACAUUUGACACAGCCAAUAUAUCUAAUAUGGAGGACUCACAGGGAGGAGAUACAAUGUCAACUUCAUAGUCGUUAUUUAAACAAUGUUAACUUCAUAGUCGUUAUUUACACAAUGUUAACUUCAUAUUGAAUCAUCUUGUACACAAUAUAUGCUUUACGUAAUAAAAAUAUGUUUUUUCAUAAUUCAAUUUUAUAUAUUAGACUGUUUUAAUUUUGUGGCUUGUGUGUGCUUUAAAGUCGUUAGACUGUGUGAUAGAUAUUACACUUGCUGGUGUUUUUUUUUUCUUUCUAUUGUUAAAAGCAAUAUGUAGUUUUUUUCCUUUCUAUUGUUAAAAGCAAUAUGUAGAUUUUUCUUAUCAAGUAAUCAUUUUAAAAAACAAAAUCAAUAGAAUUUUUACCUUUUGUUAUUUAAUAGAUGCUUCCACUUUUCACUUAGUAUGUAAAUUUUUAAUAAUAACGAAAUAUGUCCAUGUCUGACAUUUACCAAACCCAACCUCCUCAAAUAUGACAGUCAAUAGAUGUAGAAUGUAAAGUUUUGCAGGGAACCCGGAGUGUUGUUCUUCAUCUUGAAAGUCGCUGUCAAUAUACAGUCUUUGAUCCUGGUCCACUUUCAGGUUUCUUUUGGCAACGAAACAGUUUGUCCAAGGCUUUAAUUUUGUCUCUGCGUCUUUGACUUUUUUUUUAUAGCAUUCCCAAAUAAUCUGGCUACUAUUUUCCUGUUUACUCUUUAUAUAACUUUGAAGUCAAAAUUUUAAGAUGUUUAUUCAUUUAUAAACUAUUUCAUCAUAUUGGAAGCAACCAUCAUAGACCC
rnacentral:lncRNA from 1 species